rnacentral:lncRNA from 1 species
AAUGUCCAUUAUAGAAAUGGCAUUUUAGGGAACUCAUUUUUAUAGGUUAUAUAGUAUCAGAAGAAAGUAUAAAUAUUGGACCACUCAUGUGUCCAUGAGGGUUAAAAUUGAGGCUUGAUUAUAGGGAGAAAAGGGAAGGUAGAAAGUUAGCUGAUUUAUAGAAUAGAAGGAGUAAAUUGGCCCAGCAAUUUAGACAGCCAGCGCCUGGGAUGAAGAGGAUGGAUGUCAAGCACAUCCACAGUGGGGAAAGUAGCUCGGGAUCGUGGAUGUCUGUGCCGUGCGGUGGGUGGGGAUAGUAAAGGCAUUGUUUCUGAUGCUGGUGGCUACUUUUUUUAACCCACAACUUGGGGAGGGGCCUCUAGUUUGUGCUGUCCUGCUUCAGUUGAGUUUUGUGAUGUGCUUUUCAGUUUUUGCUUUGUUUUUCUGAAUUUCAUGUAGACAUUUUCACCUUUAACUCAAACUCAUCCUAAGCUCAAUUUUAAAAUGUACAUAUUUUAGUAGAAUUAGGGAGUUGGUGAUGAGGACCUGUGUUUUGUAGUAAAACCCUAUUUUUUUUUUAAAAAAGAAAACAUUCUUUACACUUCACAUAUUAUUAACAUGGUUGCUCACUUUUUUUUUUUUCAUGUUGCCAAUAGUUUCAUUAUUUAUUUAUUUUUUUUUAACUUUGUUAUUCUGUUUUAGAUGAUGGUGUUAGACUUGAUGGAGAGAAUUGCUCCAAUUUUGUGAUAUGCCCUAAGUAACAGACAGGGUUUAAAGGUGCCUGUACAGGCACUAGUAGAGUUAUAAUUACCAUCACCCCCACUUAAAGUGAGAGAGCUUAGACUGGAAGCAAGAUGUCCCGCAGCUGCACCCCGGGCCCUGGCCCUGCAGGCUUCCAGGCAGCCCCAUCUUGCCUGCUCUUUGUGCUCUUUCUUGUUUCAGGACCUUUGUUUCUUACUACUUCUUGUCUUGCCUUUACCAAUCCUGGGCCUUCUCCUUUCUGGAUAGCAUAUCCCACUUGGCUCUGAUGUUUAGGAAUGGUAAAUUCUUUUCCUUUUCCUCUGACCUUACCCUUUGUCUAGUAGCAUAGCGCAUUGUCAUUGCUUUACCAUCUAACCUCAUUUGCCAGGCUACAGUUAAUGCUGAUACUGAAGUCCAGUGUUACUGUAUCUUCCUCCUCUGAGCUAUUGUCCUGUUUUAUCUCAUUUUGAUGGGCUUUCAUGAUAAAUUACCUAACAUAUUUAUAGUUUUUGUGAAUUUUUUACACAUCCCCCAUCUAUCUUGUUUAGGUUACCUAUAUCAUUUUGAAGUAAAUCAGUUAAAGCUGUCAUUCUAAUUUUCAAUAAGUAUAUGGAAAGUUGCUUUUAUAGAAAACAGGGAGAAAAGGUCACACAUUUACCUUCUUUUUAAUCACCAUAUCGAGUAAUGUGCUUUUUAUUUUCAGAAUGAAAAAUACUUACUUCAGUCAUAUAAAACUAGUAAAAAUAACCUGCUUUUCUGCUUGCAGAGGCUUACGAAUAAAACAGCAUGGAUGAAACUGAAGCCCCAUAUGUCUCUCUUUGGUCUCUCUUUGUGCCUUGAUUCUCACUGUAUCAAGUGUUGAAUUAAGGAUGGUUGCUAAAAGUUCAAUUAAAUAUGCAAAAUAAAGGACUUUCCUUGAUGUGCUUGAUACAUUUGUAAUUCCCCAUAUAUAUGUCUUAGUUUGAAAGCACAACACUGUCUUUGCUUUGAUUUUUGUAACUACUUGGCUAGUAUCCAUGUUUUCAGAUGUACUAUAGUAGGUUAGACAUAAUUUUCUGAUGUUGCUUUUGUUUAUUUUCCCCUUAAACAGAGUGCAAUAGAGUCUCUUUUUGGAGCGUCAUUAACUGGGAUUGCCUAUUCAUUGUUUGCUGGGCAACCUCUAACAAUACUGGGGAGCACAGGUCCAGUCCUAGUGUUUGAAAAAAUUUUAUUUAAAUUCUGUAGGUAAGUAGAAAGUCUCAUCCCCCGUGUUUGUAUACUUCUUAAAUAUAUGUUACAUUGUGCUGUUUGUGAACAACACUCAGCUGUAUGAACAAUAUGUGAAUCUUCAGUGUCUGCGUUUUUUAUGUGGUUGUCCUAUCAAGGUUCCUAUUACCAUUGCACCCCAGUAAUGUAGAGAUGAAGAAAAAUAACAUUGGCCAUCAAUGCUAAUCUAAUGGACUGGAGUAAUGACAAAGCAAAUCAUUUGAGGAACAAUAAAAACUCUUAGUGUUAGUAAAAUUAAACCUGUAAGAUGUUUAUCUGAACUAUUUGUUAGGCUAAAUGUAGGUCUUACAAGAGGAAGUUUACGGUGAAGUACAUUUUGAAAGCCAAGGACUCAAAGCCAUCAAGUUGCAGGGUUAGUAUCUGUGGCUUAGGCUGUUGGGUAUCAUGGACAUACUAUAGGUAAUAGACUUUGAAUUCAGCAUUAACAAUAGUGUUUCCUAUAUGACAUGUGCAUUUGAGUCUUUUAACCUGAAACAACAUAGACAUUUGAAUAUUUGAUUGUUGUAAUUCUCAGCUCUGCUUCUCUGCUCACUUGAUAACCUGAUUAUAAUUUUGACGUGGCAUGCUCCACUGACUAGUAGUCAAUGGUAUGACUUAAAGUAUAGCCUCUCUUGUUUGACAUUAACUCUGUAGGCAUAGUGGUGACAGGAUAGUGCUGUAGAGGUGUCGUUACCCGACUGACACACACAGAUUCUUUAUGUGCAGAGAAAGUCAGCUGUGGUUGUUGCUAUAGCUGAUUGCUAAUGUGAGGUCUGAGGCUGUCUCCCCGUAUUGCCGAGCGCACUCUCACUGUCGAUCUUGAAUAAAGUAGCCAAGUCUCCAGAUGAAGCAAAGCACAGAGCUUCACCUCAUCAUUACGUGGCAAUUUGGUAAUUGUGAUUUUUUAACGGGAUCCUGUGUUUGUGUUUUUACUGCUUGUUAUGAAAAACUUUAGGUGCAAAUCUGUAUGUACAUGGUGAUCAUGUCUCCACUUAUAUUUCGAAACAGAGAUUAUCACCUUUCCUAUCUAUCAUUAAGAACCAGUAUUGGUCUGUGGACAUCUUUCUUGUGCAUUGUAUUGGUCGCAACAGAUGCAAGCAGCCUUGUUUGUUACAUUACUCGGUUCACAGAAGAAGCUUUUGCGGCUCUCAUUUGUAUCAUAUUCAUCUAUGAAGCUCUGGAGAAGCUCUUUCACUUAGGAGAAAUAUAUGCAUUUAAUAUGCACAACAACUUGGAUGAAUUGACCAGUUACACGUAAGUGCUUCUAUUUCAUCCUCAUGUUAAAAUACAUUUUUUUCUAAGGUACUAGAGCAUAAGAAAGAUGGGCUUUUUUAUUAAUGAGCUGGUAUAUACUUUUAAGUUUUUAAUUGUAGUACUCAGGAGACUGGAGGCAAGAGGAUGUACCAUAAGCUGAAGGUCUACCUCGUCUACAUAGG